rnacentral:sRNA from 1 species
UUUGAUCUGUUUUUUGAUCCAUUUGGUCUGGCAUUGAAUCACGUUCCAUCAUCAGGCUCGGCGGAUAGUUGCCGGGUUUAUCCGUAUCAAGACACCCGGUCAAGACAGUUGAAGCUACUAACAGGGUGGCGACAGUAAGUAUGAGUUUCAUUUUUUAGUCUCCUAUAAGAAAAAUAUAUUGACAAUAUAACUCUUCUAGCUGGUUUGACUUAUUGCCUCCCUUCUCAGGAGACAGUUAUUUAAUAACAAAUAUUUUAUUUAUUGUCAAUAUUUUUUAAUUGUCUCACUUAAUAAAAUUAUAAAAUAAUCUUUAUGUUAUAAA